GAUGAACGCUGGCGGCGUGCCUAAUACAUGCAAGUCGAGCGAACAGACGAGGAGCUUGCUCCUCUGACGUUAGCGGCGGACGGGUGAGUAACACUUGGAUAACCUACCUAUAAGACUGGGAUAACUUCGGGAAACCGGAGCUAAUACCGGAUAAUAUAUUGAACCGCAUGGUUCAAUAGUGAAAGACGGUUUUGCUGUCACUUAUAGAUGGAUCCGCGCCGCAUUAGCUAGUUGGUAAGGUAACGGCUUACCAAGGCAACGAUGCGUAGCCGACCUGAGAGGGUGAUCGGCCACACUGGAACUGAGACACGGUCCAGACUCCUACGGGAGGCAGCAGUAGGGAAUCUUACGCAAUGGGCGAAAGCCUGACGGAGCAACGCCGCGUGAGUGAUGAAGGUCUUCGGAUCGUAAAACUCUGUUAUUAGGGAAGAACAAAUGUGUAAGUAACUAUGCACGUCUUGACGGUACCUAAUCAGAAAGCCACGGCUAACUACGUG
rnacentral:rRNA from 1 species